GUAAGCGUGCGCAGGCGGUUUUGUAAGACUGUCGUGAAAUCCCCGGGCUCAACCUGGGAAUGGCGAUGGUGACUGCAAGGCAGAGUUUGGCAGAGGGGGGUAGAAUUCCACGUGUAGCAGUGAAAUGCGUAGAUAUGUGGAGGAACACCGAUGGCGAAGGCAAUCCCCUGGGCCUGUACUGACGCUCAUGCACGAAAGCGUGGGGAGCAAACAGGAUUAGAUACCCUUGU
rnacentral:rRNA from 1 species